rnacentral:rRNA from 1 species
CCUACGGUGUGCAGCAGUGAGGAAUAUUGGACAAUGGCCUGAAGGCUGAACCAGCCAUGCCGCGUGAAGGUCAGUGCCCUAUGGGCGUUAAACUUCUUUUGUGCGGGAGCAAUAAUGGUCACGUAUGGCCAGACGAGAGUACCGUACGAAUAAUCUUCGGCUAACUCCGUGCCAGCAGCCGCGGUCAUACGUGUGAUGCAAGCGUUAUCCGGAUUUAUUGGGUUUCAAGGGUGCGUAGGCUGGGAGGUAAGUCAGCGGUGAAAUGCCCCCGCUCAACGGGGUGAAGUGCAAUUGAUACUGCCUGGCUGGAAUGCGGAGGCCGGGGGAGGAAUGUGUGGUGUAGCGGUGAAAUGCAUAGAUAUCACACAGAACACCGAUUGCGAAGGCAUCUCACGAAUCCGCGAUUGACGCUGAUGCACGAAAGCGUGGGUAUCAAACAGGAUUAGAUACCCCAGUAGUC